AGCGAACGCUGGCGGCAGGCCUAACACAUGCAAGUCGAACGAACCUUUCGGGGUUAGUGGCGGACGGGUGAGUAACACGUGGGAACGUGCCUUUAGGUUCGGAAUAACUCAGGGAAACUUGUGCUAAUACCGAAUGUGCCCUUCGGGGGAAAGAUUAAUCGCCUUUAGAGCGGCCCGCGUCUGAUUAGCUAGUUGGUUGAGGUAAUGGCUCACCAAGGCGACGAUCAGUAGCUGGUCUGAGAGGAUGAUCAGCCACAUUGGGACUGAGACACGGACCAAAAUGCGACGGGAGGGAGCAGUGGGGAAAAUUGAGCAAUGAGGGAAAACCUGGCACAGCCAUGCCGGGUGAAAGGUGAAGGUCUUAGGAUUGUAAAAUUCUUUGACAGGGGACGAUAAUGACGGUACCCGGGAAAGAAGCACCGGCUAACUACGUG
rnacentral:rRNA from 1 species